rnacentral:rRNA from 1 species
GAUGAACGCUGGCGGCGUGCUUAACACAUGCAAGUCGAACGGAGAUAUCAUUUUCGAAGCGAUUAGUUUACUAAGAGUGGAGAUGUUGGUAUCUUAGUGGCGGACGGGUGAGUAACGCGUGGGUAACCUGCCUUACACUGGGGGAUAACACUUAGAAAUAGGUGCUAAUACCGCAUAACAGGAGAAGACGCAUGUCUUAUCCUUGAAAACUCCGGUGGUGUAAGAUGGACCCGCGUCUGAUUAGCUUGUUGGCGGGGUAACGGCCCACCAAGGCGACGAUCAGUAGCCGGCCUGAGAGGGUGAACGGCCACAUUGGGACUGAGACACGGCCCAAACUCCUACGGGAGGCAGCAGUGGGGAAUAUUGGACAAUGGGGGGAACCCUGAUCCAGCGACGCCGCGUGAGUGAAGAAGUAUUUCGGUAUGUAAAGCUCUAUCAGCAGGGAAGAAAGAAA